rnacentral:rRNA from 1 species
GCUACGGGAGGCAGCAGUGAGGAAUAUUGGUCAAUGGGCGCGAGCCUGAACCAGCCAAGUAGCGUGAAGGAUGACUGCCCUACGGGUUGUAAACUUCUUUUAUAAAGGAAUAAAGUGAGGCACGUGUGCCUUUUUGUAUGUACUUUAUGAAUAAGGAUCGGCUAACUCCGUGCCAGCAGCCGCGGUAAUACGGAGGAUCCGAGCGUUAUCCGGAUUUAUUGGGUUUAAAGGGGGCGUGGAUGGGUUGUUAAGUCAGUUGUAAAAGUUUGCGGCUCAACCGUAAAAUUGCAUUUGAUACUGGCAGCCUUAGUUGCGGUUGGGGUAGUCGAACUUCUUGGUUUGGCGGUAAACUGCUUGACUUUCACAAGAAACUCCGCUUGCAAGGGCAGCUUACUAAACUUCCACUACCAUUAAUGCUCAAAGGUGUGGGUGUCAAACGGACUUCACUCCCCGGGUCGU